rnacentral:rRNA from 1 species
GACGAACGCUGGCGGCGUGCUUAACACAUGCAAGUCGAACGGAAAGGCCUCUUUCGGGGGGUACUCGAGUGGCGAACGGGUGAGUAACACGUGAGUAACCUGCCCUUGACUUUGGGAUAACUUCAGGAAACUGGGGCUAAUACCGGAUAGGAGCUCCUGCUGCCUGGUGGGGGUUGGAAAGUUUCGGCGGUUGGGGAUGGACUCGCGGCUUAUCCGCUCGUUGGUGGGGUAGUGGCUUACCAAGGCUUUGACGGGUAGCCGGCCUGAGAGGGUGACCGGCCACAUUGGGACUGAGAGACGGCCCAGACUCCGACGGGAGGCAGCAGGGGGGAAUAUUGCACAAUGGGUGGAAGCCUGAUGCAGCAACGCCGUGUGCGGGAUGACGGCCUUCGGGUUGUAAACCGCUUUCGCUCAUGACGAAGCUUUGUGUGACGGUAGUGGGUAAAGAAGCACCGGCUAACUACGUG